ACUGGGCAGAUGAUGAAAUUAUAUUUCAUGGGUAAUUUGCGUCUGAUUCUAUGUGAUGCUAACUUCAAUGAUUAUCUGAUGCCCAGA
rfam:Arabidopsis lyrata subsp. lyrata unplaced genomic scaffold ARALYscaffold_4, whole genome shotgun sequence.